rnacentral:tRNA from 1 species
UCCAGGGUAGCCUAGUGGACAUGGCAUCUGCCCGGUAAGCGGAACAUUGUGGGUUCGAUUUCGAUCCCUGGAA